rnacentral:rRNA from 1 species
GGUUAAGCGACUAAGCGUACACGGUGGAUGCCCUGGCAGUCAGAGGCGAUGAAGGACGUGCUAAUCUGCGAUAAGCGUCGGUAAGGUGAUAUGAACCGUUAUAACCGGCGAUUUCCGAAUGGGGAAACCCAGUGUGAUUCGUCACACUAUCAUUAACUGAAUCCAUAGGUUAAUGAGGCGAACCGGGGGAACUGAAACAUCUAAGUACCCCGAGGAAAAGAAAUCAACCGAGAUUCCCCCAGUAGCGGCGAGCGAACGGGGAGCAGCCCAGAGCCUGAAUCAGUGUGUGUGUUAGUGGAAGCGUCUGGAAAGGCGCGCGAUACAGGGUGACAGCCCCGUACACAAAAAUGCACAUACUGUGAGCUCGAUGAGUAGGGCGGGACACGUGGUAUCCUGUCUGAAUAUGGGGGGACCAUCCUCCAAGGCUAAAUACUCCUGACUGACCGAUAGUGAACCAGUACCGUGAGGGAAAGGCGAAAAGAACCCCGGCGAGGGGAGUGAAAAAGAACCUGAAACCGUGUACGUACAAGCAGUGGGAGCACAGAGCAAUCUGUGUGACUGCGUACCUUUUGUAUAAUGGGUCAGCGACUUAUAUUCUGUAGCAAGGUUAACCGAAUAGGGGAGCCGAAGGGAAACCGAGUCUUAACUGGGCGUUAAGUUGCAGGGUAUAGACCCGAAACCCGGUGAUCUAGCCAUGGGCAGGUUGAAGGUUGGGUAACACUAACUGGAGGACCGAACCGACUAAUGUUGAAAAAUUAGCGGAUGACUUGUGGCUGGGGGUGAAAGGCCAAUCAAACCGGGAGAUAGCUGGUUCUCCCCGAAAGCUAUUUAGGUAGCGCCUCGUGAAUUCAUCUCCGGGGGUAGAGCACUGUUUCGGCAAGGGGGUCAUCCCGACUUACCAACCCGAUGCAAACUGCGAAUACCGGAGAAUGUUAUCACGGGAGACACACGGCGGGUGCUAACGUCCGUCGUGAAGAGGGAAACAACCCAGACCGCCAGCUAAGGUCCCAAAGUCAUGGUUAAGUGGGAAACGAUGUGGGAAGGCCCAGACAGCCAGGAUGUUGGCUUAGAAGCAGCCAUCAUUUAAAGAAAGCGUAAUAGCUCACUGGUCGAGUCGGCCUGCGCGGAAGAUGUAACGGGGCUAAACCAUGCACCGAAGCUGCGGCAGCGACGCUGAUGCGUUGUUGGGUAGGGGAGCGUUCUGUAAGCCUGUGAAGGUGUACUGUGAGGUAUGCUGGAGGUAUCAGAAGUGCGAAUGCUGACAUAAGUAACGAUAAAGCGGGUGAAAAGCCCGCUCGCCGGAAGACCAAGGGUUCCUGUCCAACGUUAAUCGGGGCAGGGUGAGUCGACCCCUAAGGCGAGGCCGAAAGGCGUAGUCGAUGGGAAACAGGUUAAUAUUCCUGUACUUGGUGUUACUGCGAAGGGGGGACGGAGAAGGCUAUGUUGGCCGGGCGACGGUUGUCCCGGUUUAAGCGUGUAGGCUGGUUUUCCAGGCAAAUCCGGAAAAUCAAGGCUGAGGCGUGAUGACGAGGCACUACGGUGCUGAAGCAACAAAUGCCCUGCUUCCAGGAAAAGCCUCUAAGCAUCAGGUAACAUCAAAUCGUACCCCAAACCGACACAGGUGGUCAGGUAGAGAAUACCAAGGCGCUUGAGAGAACUCGGGUGAAGGAACUAGGCAAAAUGGUGCCGUAACUUCGGGAGAAGGCACGCUGAUAUGUAGGUGAAGUCCCUCGCGGAUGGAGCUGAAAUCAGUCGAAGAUACCAGCUGGCUGCAACUGUUUAUUAAAAACACAGCACUGUGCAAACACGAAAGUGGACGUAUACGGUGUGACGCCUGCCCGGUGCCGGAAGGUUAAUUGAUGGGGUUAGCGCAAGCGAAGCUCUUGAUCGAAGCCCCGGUAAACGGCGGCCGUAACUAUAACGGUCCUAAGGUAGCGAAAUUCCUUGUCGGGUAAGUUCCGACCUGCACGAAUGGCGUAAUGAUGGCCAGGCUGUCUCCACCCGAGACUCAGUGAAAUUGAACUCGCUGUGAAGAUGCAGUGUACCCGCGGCAAGACGGAAAGACCCCGUGAACCUUUACUAUAGCUUGACACUGAACAUUGAGCCUUGAUGUGUAGGAUAGGUGGGAGGCUUUGAAGUGUGGACGCCAGUCUGCAUGGAGCCGACCUUGAAAUACCACCCUUUAAUGUUUGAUGUUCUAACGUUGACCCGUAAUCCGGGUUGCGGACAGUGUCUGGUGGGUAGUUUGACUGGGGCGGUCUCCUCCUAAAGAGUAACGGAGGAGCACGAAGGUUGGCUAAUCCUGGUCGGACAUCAGGAGGUUAGUGCAAUGGCAUAAGCCAGCUUGACUGCGAGCGUGACGGCGCGAGCAGGUGCGAAAGCAGGUCAUAGUGAUCCGGUGGUUCUGAAUGGAAGGGCCAUCGCUCAACGGAUAAAAGGUACUCCGGGGAUAACAGGCUGAUACCGCCCAAGAGUUCAUAUCGACGGCGGUGUUUGGCACCUCGAUGUCGGCUCAUCACAUCCUGGGGCUGAAGUAGGUCCCAAGGGUAUGGCUGUUCGCCAUUUAAAGUGGUACGCGAGCUGGGUUUAGAACGUCGUGAGACAGUUCGGUCCCUAUCUGCCGUGGGCGCUGGAGAACUGAGGGGGGCUGCUCCUAGUACGAGAGGACCGGAGUGGACGCAUCACUGGUGUUCGGGUUGUCAUGCCAAUGGCACUGCCCGGUAGCUAAAUGCGGAAGAGAUAAGUGCUGAAAGCAUCUAAGCACGAAACUUGCCCCGAGAUGAGUUCUCCCUGACUCCUUGAGAGUCCUGAAGGAACGUUGAAGACGACGACGUUGAUAGGCCGGGUGUGUAAGCGCAGCGAUGCGUUGAGCUAACCGGUACUAAUGAACCGUGAGGCUUAACCUU